rnacentral:rRNA from 1 species
AUUGAACGCUGGCGGCAGGAUUAACACAUGCACGUCGAACGAGUGGCGGACGGGUGAGUAAUGCUUGGGAAUCUAGCUUAUGGAGGGGGAUAACUACGGGGAACUGUAGCUAAUACCGCGUACCAUAGGAGGAGCCCAAUUGGGAUUAGGUAGUUGGUGAGGUAAAGGCUUACCAAGCCGACGAUCUCUAGCUGGUCUGAGAGGAUGACCAGCCCCACGGGGACUGAGACACGGCCCAGCCUCCUACGGGAGGCAACAGUGGGGAAUAUUGCGCAAUGGGGGCAUCCUGACGCAGCCAUGCCGCGUGAAUGAAGAAGGCCUUCGGGUUGUAAAGUUCUUUCGGUAGCGAGGCGUUAACUACAGAAUAAGCACCGGCUAACUCCGUGCCAGCAGCCGCGGUAAUUC